rnacentral:lncRNA from 1 species
GAUGAUGAUGAUGAGACUGACAACCACAAGGUAAGCUCGCCGAGUGCAUCCUCUCAAGGGUAGGAAGCGUUUUCGGAGGAAGACUGACGACCAAGAGGACGGGAAUGAUGAUGGUGUGAGACAAUGUAGCAGGUACCCAUUAUUAGUUUGUGCUGCUUUCACAUGUUGUGAUUAAAAUUGGUAAUUUUGUGUUGCAGAAAACAAUAGCACAUAUUUCCGAGAGGAGUACAAAGGAGAACAAAAAAAAAUGGAUGAUGAAGACGUGUCGACACUCUUGAUGUAUGAUAUUCUUCCUAGGAUCUAAUUUUUUUUUUACAUAAAAACGCAUAGGUAUGAAAUGGUCAAUCAAAAUGUACAACAUCGCUUGUCCAAAAAACAUUUUGAUGUGUCUUAUUUUAGGUCAACAUCAAGUGCGGUUUUGUUAAUUUAGAUAUUGAUGCUUGGAUUGGGGAGACGGAAUAGUGAGUGCUGGAAGAAGACUGAUGUAAUGAAAAAGCUGACACUUGUUUGAUGUGCAUGUAGAUAUGAUCAAUGUUAAACCACUAGAAUUAGGCGACCCCGGUGCAAUGCACGGGCAAUUACCUAUUAGUAAACAAAU